rnacentral:rRNA from 1 species
UACGUAGGGGGCAAGCGUUAUCCGGAUUUACUGGGUGUAAAGGGAGCGCAGACGGCAGUGCAAGUCUGGAGUGAAAGCCCGGGGCUCAACCCCGGGACUGCUUUGGAAACUGCAUAGCUGGAGUGCUGGAGAGGCAAGCGGAAUUCCUAGUGUAGCGGUGAAAUGCGUAGAUAUAUGGAAGAACACCAGUGGCGAAGGCGGCUCUCUGGUCUGCAACUGACGCUGAGGCUCGAAAGCAUGGGUAGCGAACAGG